UACGGGGGGGGCAAGCGUUGUUCGGAAUUACUGGGCGUAAAGGGUUCGUAGGUGGCCCGCUAAGUCAGACGUGAAAUCCCUCAGCUCAACUGGGGAACUGCGUCUGAGACUGGCGGGCUUGAGUGCAGGAGAGGAACGCGGAAUUCCAGGUGUAGCGGUGAAAUGCGUAGAUAUCUGGAGGAACACCGGUGGCGAAGGCGGCGUUCUGGACUGUUACUGACACUGAGGAACGAAAGCCAGGGGAGCGAACGGG
rnacentral:rRNA from 1 species